rnacentral:rRNA from 1 species
AACGUAGGAGACAAACGUUAUCCGGAGUUACUGGGCGUAAAGGGCGUGUAGGUGGUAAUGUAAGUCUGGCGUGAAAUUUUUCGGCUUAACCGGGAAAGGUCGUCGGAUACUGCAAGGCUAGAGGACGGUAGAGGCGUGUGGAAUUCCGGGUGUAGUGGUGAAAUGCGUAGAUAUCGGAAGGAACAUCAGUGGCGAAAGCGGCUUCCUGGACCAGCACCGACGUUCAGGCACGAAAGCGUGGGGAGCAAACAGG